rnacentral:rRNA from 1 species
CUUGCACCGAGAUUCAACAUCCGAUGAGUGGCGGACGGGUGAGUAACACGUGGGUAACCUGCCCUUAAGUGGGGGAUAACAUUUGGAAACAGAUGCUAAUACCGCAUAGAUCCAAGAACCGCAUGGUUCUUGGCUGAAAGAUGGCGUAAGCUAUCGCUUUUGGAUGGACCCGCGGCGUAUUAGCUAGUUGGUGAGGUAAUGGCUCACCAAGGCGAUGAUACGUAGCCGAACUGAGAGGUUGAUCGGCCACAUUGGGACUGAGACACGGCCCAAACUCCUACGGGAGGCAGCAGUAGGGAAUCUUCCACAAUGGACGCAAGUCUGAUGGAGCAACGCCGCGUGAGUGAAGAAGGCUUUCGGGUCGUAAAACUCUGUUGUUGGAGAAGAAUGGUCGGCAGAGUAACUGUUGUCGGCGUGACGGUAUCCAACCAGAAAGCCACGGCUAACUACGUGCCAGCAGCCGCGGUAAUACGUAGGUGGCAAGCGUUAUCCGGAUUUAUUGGGCGUAAAGCGAGCGCAGGCGGUUUUUUAAGUCUGAUGUGAAAGCCCUCGGCUUAACCGAGGAAGCGCAUCGGAAACUGGGAAACUUGAGUGCAGAAGAGGACAGUGGAACUCCAUGUGUAGCGGUGAAAUGCGUAGAUAUAUGGAAGAACACCAGUGGCGAAGGCGGCUGUCUGGUCUGUAACUGACGCUGAGGCUCGAAAGCAUGGGUAGCGAACAGGAUUAGAUACCCUGGUAGUCCAUGCCG